rnacentral:rRNA from 1 species
GGCCUGCGCGGAAGAUGUAACGGGGCUAAACCAUGCACCGAAGCUGCGGCAGCGACGCUGAUGCGUUGUUGGGUAGGGGAGCGUUCUGUAAGCCUGUGAAGGUGUACUGUGAGGUNGGGGAGCGUUCUGUAAGCCUGUGAAGGUGUACUGUGAGGUAUGCUGGAGGUAUCAGAAGUGCGAAUGCUGACAUAAGUAACGAUAAAGCGGGUGAAAAGCCCGCUCGCCGGAAGACCAAGGGUUCCUGUCCAACGUUAAUCGGGGCAGGGUGAGUCGACCCCUAAGGCGAGGCCGAAAGGCGUAGUCGAUGGGAAACAGGUUAAUAUUCCUGUACUUGGUGUUACUGCGAAGGGGGGACGGAGAAGGCUAUGUUGGCCGGGCGACGGUUGUCCCGGUUUAAGCGUGUAGGCUGGUUUUCCAGGCAAAUCCGGAAAAUCAAGGCUGAGGCGUGAUGACGAGGCACUACGGUGCUGAAGCAACAAAUGCCCUGCUUCCAGGAAAAGCCUCUAAGCAUCAGGUAACAUCAAAUCGUACCCCAAACCGACACAGGUGGUCAGGUAGAGAAUACCAAGGCGCUUGAGAGAACUCGGGUGAAGGAACUAGGCAAAAUGGUGCCGUAACUUCGGGAGAAGGCACGCUGAUAUGUAGGUGAAGUCCCUCGCGGANGUCAGGUAGAGAAUACCAAGGCGCUUGAGAGAACUCGGGUGAAGGAACUAGGCAAAAUGGUGCCGUAACUUCGGGAGAAGGCACGCUGAUAUGUAGGUGAAGCGACUUGCUCGUGGAGCUGAAAUCAGUCGAAGAUACCAGCUGGCUGCAACUGUUUAUUAAAAACACAGCACUGUGCAAACACGAAAGUGGACGUAUACGGUGUGACGCCUGCCCGGUGCCGGAAGGUUAAUUGAUGGGGUUAGCCGCAAGNGUAGAGAAUACCAAGGCGCUUGAGAGAACUCGGGUGAAGGAACUAGGCAAAAUGGUGCCGUAACUUCGGGAGAAGGCACGCUGAUAUGUAGGUGAAGUCCCUCGCGGAUGGAGCUGAAAUCAGUCGAAGAUACCAGCUGGCUGCAACUGUUUAUUAAAAACACAGCACUGUGCAAACACGAAAGUGGACGUAUACGGUGUGACGCCUGCCCGGUGCCGGAAGGUUAAUUGAUGGGGUUAGCGCAAGCGAAGCUCUUGAUCGAAGCCCCGGUAAACGGCGGCCGUAACUAUAACGGUCCUAAGGUAGCGAAAUUCCUUGUCGGGUAAGUUCCGACCUGCACGAAUGGCGUAAUGAUGGCCAGGCUGUCUCCACCCGAGACUCAGUGAAAUUGAACUCGCUGUGAAGAUGCAGUGUACCCGCGGCAAGACGGAAAGACCCCGUGAACCUUUACUAUAGCUUGACACUGAACAUUGAGCCUUGAUGUGUAGGAUAGGUGGGAGGCUUUGAAGUGUGGACGCCAGUCUGCAUGGAGCCGACCUUGAAAUACCACCCUUUAAUGUUUGAUGUUCUAACGUUGACCCGUANAGCCUUGAUGUGUAGGAUAGGUGGGAGGCUUUGAAGUGUGGACGCCAGUCUGCAUGGAGCCGACCUUGAAAUACCACCCUUUAAUGUUUGAUGUUCUAACGUGGACCCGUGNCGUGAACCUUUACUAUAGCUUGACACUGAACAUUGAGCCUUGAUGUGUAGGAUAGGUGGGAGGCUUUGAAGUGUGGACGCCAGUCUGCAUGGAGCCGACCUUGAAAUACCACCCUUUAAUGUUUGAUGUUCUAACGUUGACCCGUAAUCCGGGUUGCGGACAGUGUCUGGUGGGUAGUUUGACUGGGGCGGUCUCCUCCUAAAGAGUAACGGAGGAGCACGAAGGUUGGCUAAUCCUGGUCGGACAUCAGGAGGUUAGUGCAAUGGCAUAAGCCAGCUUGACUGCGAGCGUGACGGCGCGAGCAGGUGCGAAAGCAGGUCAUAGUGAUCCGGUGGUUCUGAAUGGAAGGGCCAUCGCUCAACGGAUAAAAGGUACUCCGGGGAUAACAGGCUGAUACCGCCCAAGAGUUCAUAUCGACGGCGGUGUUUGGCACCUCGAUGUCGGCUCAUCACAUCCUGGGGCUGAAGUAGGUCCCAAGGGUAUGGCUGUUCGCCAUUUAAAGUGGUACGCGAGCUGGGUUUAGAACGUCGUGAGACAGUUCGGUCCCUAUCUGCCGUGGGCGCUGGAGAACUGAGGGGGGCUGCUCCUAGUACGAGAGGACCGGAGUGGACGCAUCACUGGUGUUCGGGUUGUCAUGCCAAUGGCACUGCCCGGUAGCUAAAUGCGGAAGAGAUAAGUGCUGAAAGCAUCUAAGCACGAAACUUGCCCCGAGAUGAGUUCUCCCUGACUCCUUGA